CCUACGGGUUGCAGCAGUGGGGAAUAUUGCACAAUGGGCGCAAGCCUGAUGCAGCCAUGCCGCGUGUAUGAAGAAGGCCUUCGGGUUGUAAAGUACUUUCAGCGGGGAGGAAGGGAGUAAAGUUAAUACCUUUGCUCAUUGACGUUACCCGCAGAAGAAGCAUCGGCUAACUCUGUGCCAGCAGCCGCGGUAAUACAGAGGAUGCAAGCGUUAUCCGGAAUGAUUGGGCGUAAAGCGUCUGUAGGUGGCUUUUUAAGUCCGCCGUCAAAUCCCAGGGCUCAACCCUGGACAGGCGGUGGAAACUACCAAGCUGGAGUGCGGUAGGGGCAGAGGGAAUUUCCGGUGGAGCGGUGAAAUGCGUAGAGAUCGGAAAGAACACCAACGGCGAAAGCACUCUGCUGGGCCGACACUGACACUGAGAGACGAAAACUAGGGGGGCGAAUGGGAUUAGAUACCCGGGUAGUC
rnacentral:rRNA from 1 species